rnacentral:rRNA from 1 species
AGCAGCAGCCGCGGGAAUACAGAGGGUGCGAGCGUUAAUCGGAUUUACUGGGCGUAAAGCGUGCGUAGGCGGCUUCUUAAGUCGGAUGUGAAAUCCCUGAGCUUAACUUAGGAAUUGCAUUCGAUACUGGGAAGCUAGAGUAUGGGAGAGGAUGGUAGAAUUCCAGGUGUAGCGGUGAAAUGCGUAGAGAUCUGGAGGAAUACCGAUGGCGAAGGCAGCCAUCUGGCCUAAUACUGACGCUGAGGUACGAAAGCAUGGGGAGCAAACAGGAUUAGAUACCCCCGUAGUCCCUGUCUCUUAUAU